rnacentral:rRNA from 1 species
AAAUUGAAGAGUUUGAUCAUGGCUCAGAUUGAACGCUGGCGGCAGGCCUAACACAUGCAAGUCGAGCGGUAGCACAGAGAGCUUGCUCUCGGGUGACGAGCGGCGGACGGGUGAGUAAUGUCUGGGAAACUGCCUGAUGGAGGGGGAUAACUACUGGAAACGGUAGCUAAUACCGCAUAACGUCGCAAGACCAAAGUGGGGGACCUUCGGGCCUCAUGCCAUCAGAUGUGCCCAGAUGGGAUUAGCUAGUAGGUGGGGUAACGGCUCACCUAGGCGACGAUCCCUAGCUGGUCUGAGAGGAUGACCAGCCACACUGGAACUGAGACACGGUCCAGACUCCUACGGGAGGCAGCAGUGGGGAAUAUUGCACAAUGGGCGCAAGCCUGAUGCAGCCAUGCCGCGUGUGUGAAGAAGGCCUUCGGGUUGUAAAGCACUUUCAGCGGGGAGGAAGGCGAUAAGGUUAAUAACCUUAUCGAUUGACGUUACCCGCAGAAGAAGCACCGGCUAACUCCGUGCCAGCAGCCGCGGUAAUACGGAGGGUGCAAGCGUUAAUCGGAAUUACUGGGCGUAAAGCGCACGCAGGCGGUCUGUCAAGUCGGAUGUGAAAUCCCCGGGCUCAACCUGGGAACUGCAUUCGAAACUGGCAGGCUAGAGUCUUGUAGAGGGGGGUAGAAUUCCAGGUGUAGCGGUGAAAUGCGUAGAGAUCUGGAGGAAUACCGGUGGCGAAGGCGGCCCCCUGGACAAAGACUGACGCUCAGGUGCGAAAGCGUGGGGAGCAAACAGGAUUAGAUACCCUGGUAGUCCACGCCGUAAACGAUGUCGAUUUGGAGGUUGUGCCCUUGAGGCGUGGCUUCCGGAGCUAACGCGUUAAAUCGACCGCCUGGGGAGUACGGCCGCAAGGUUAAAACUCAAAUGAAUUGACGGGGGCCCGCACAAGCGGUGGAGCAUGUGGUUUAAUUCGAUGCAACGCGAAGAACCUUACCUGGUCUUGACAUCCACAGAACUUUCCAGAGAUGGAUUGGUGCCUUCGGGAACUGUGAGACAGGUGCUGCAUGGCUGUCGUCAGCUCGUGUUGUGAAAUGUUGGGUUAAGUCCCGCAACGAGCGCAACCCUUAUCCUUUGUUGCCAGCGGUUCGGCCGGGAACUCAAAGGAGACUGCCAGUGAUAAACUGGAGGAAGGUGGGGAUGACGUCAAGUCAUCAUGGCCCUUACGACCAGGGCUACACACGUGCUACAAUGGCAUAUACAAAGAGAAGCGACCUCGCGAGAGCAAGCGGACCUCAUAAAGUAUGUCGUAGUCCGGAUUGGAGUCUGCAACUCGACUCCAUGAAGUCGGAAUCGCUAGUAAUCGUAGAUCAGAAUGCUACGGUGAAUACGUUCCCGGGCCUUGUACACACCGCCCGUCACACCAUGGGAGUGGGUUGCAAAAGAAGUAGGUAGCUUAACCUUCGGGAGGGCGCUUACCACUUUGUGAUUCAUGACUGGGGUGAAGUCGUAACAAGGUAACCGUAGGGGAACCUGCGGUUGGAUCACCUCCUUACCUUAAAGAA